rnacentral:rRNA from 1 species
CAGGACGAACGCUGGCGGCGUGCCUAAUACAUGCAAGUCGAACGGUCUUUCUAUGGAAGCUUGCUCCACUGAGAAGAUAGUGGCGAACGGGUGAGUAACACGUGGGUAACCUGCCCAUAAGAGGGGGAUAACAUCCGGAAACGGGUGCUAAUACCGCAUAGUUUUCUUGAUCGCAUGAUUGAGAAAGGAAAGACGGCCUUUGUGCUGUCGCUUAUGGAUGGACCCGCGGCGUAUUAGUUAGUUGGUGAGGUAACGGCUCACCAAGACGAUGAUACGUAGCCGACCUGAGAGGGUGAUCGGCCACAUUGGGACUGAGACACGGCCCAAACUCCUACGGGAGGCAGCAGUAGGGAAUCUUCCGCAAUGGACGAAAGUCUGACGGAGCAACGCCGCGUGAGUGAAGUAAAAGGGUUUUCGGAUCGUAAAACUCUGUUGUCAGAGAAGAACAAGUUGGAGAGUAACUGCUCCAGCCUUGACGGUAUCUGACCAGAAAGCCACGGCUAACUACGUGCCAGCCGCUGC